rnacentral:rRNA from 1 species
UACGGAGGGUGCGAGCGUUGUCCGGAAUCACCGGGCGUAAAGGGCGCGUAGGCGGCCUGGUAAGUAGGGGGUGAAAUCCUGCGGCUUAACCGCAGGGCUGCCUUCUAAACUGUCAGGCUCGAGCACGGUAGAGGCAGAUGGAAUUCCCGGUGUAGCGGUGGAAUGCGUAGAGAUCGGGAAGAACAUCAGUGGCGAAGGCGGUCUGCUGGGCCGUUGCUGACGCUGAGGCGCGACAGCGUGGGGAGCAAACAGG